GACGAACGCUGGCGGCGUGCUUAACACAUGCAAGUCGAACGCUGAAGACCUGGCUUUUGUUGGGUUGGAUGAGUGGCGAACGGGUGAGUAACACGUGAGUAACCUGCCCUCUUCUUUGGGAUAACGCCCGGAAACGGGUGCUAAUACUGGAUAUUCACUGAUCUUCGCAUGGGGGUUGGUGGAAAGGUUUGUUCUGGUGGGGGAUGGGCUCGCGGCCUAUCAGCUUGUUGGUGGGGUGAUGGCCUACCAAGGCUUUGACGGGUAGCCGGCCUGAGAGGGUGACCGGUCACAUUGGGACUGAGAUACGGCCCAGACUCCUACGGGAGGCAGCAGUGGGGAAUAUAGCACAAUGGGCGAAAGCCUGAUGCAGCGGCGCCGCGUGAGGGAUGGAGGCCUUCGGGUUGUAAACCUCUUUCGCUCAUGGUCAAGCCGCAACUGUGGGUUGUGGUGAGGGUAGUGGGUAAAGAAGCGCCGGCUAACUACGUG
rnacentral:rRNA from 1 species